rnacentral:rRNA from 1 species
GAUGAACGCUGGCGGCGUGCCUAAUACAUGCAAGUCGAGCGAACAGACGAGGAGCUUGCUCCUCUGACGUUAGCGGCGGACGGGUGAGUAACACGUGGAUAACCUACCUAUAAGACUGGGAUAACUUCGGGAAACCGGAGCUAAUACCGGAUAAUAUAUUGAACCGCAUGGUGCAAUAGUGAAAGACGGUUUUGCUGUCACUUAUAGAUGGAUCCGCGCCGCAUUAGCUAGUUGGUAAGGUAACGGCUUACCAAGGCAACGAUGCGUAGCCGACCUGAGGGGGUGAUCGGCCACACUGGAGCUUGGACACGGUCCAGACUCCUACGGGAGGCAGCAGUCGGGAAUCUUCCGCAAUGGGCGAAAGCCUGACGGAGCAGCGCCGCGUGAGUGAUGAAGGUCUUCGGAUCGUAAUACUCUGUUAUUAGGGAAGAACAAAUGUGUAAGUAACUAUGCACGUCUUGACGGUACCUAAUCAGAAAGCCACGGCUAACUACGUG